rnacentral:rRNA from 1 species
AUAUCAAUAAGCGGAGGAAAAGAAACCAACAGGGAUUGCCUCAGUAACGGCGAGUGAAGCGGCAACAGCUCAAAUUUGAAAUCUGACUUCGGUCUGAGUUGUAAUUUGUAGAGGGUAUUUGGAAUGCGACGUCGGCCUAAGUCCCUUGGAACAGGGCGUCAUAGAGGGUGAGAAUCCCGUAUGUGGCCAUGCGUCAAUUUCAUGUCAAAUCUCUUCGACGAGUCGAGUUGUUUGGGAAUGCAGCUCAAAAUGGGUGGUAAAUUUCAUCUAAAGCUAAAUACCGGCCAGAGACCGAUAGCGCACAAGUAGAGUGAUCGAAAGAUGAAAAGCACUUUGGAAAGAGAGUUAAACAGUACGUGAAAUUGUUGAAAGGGAAGCGCUUGCCAUUAGACCGAUCUUCAGGCAGCAGUUUAGAGGUAACUCUGGAUGUAAAGCACCUGUUCUUCGGCCAGCAUCGGUUUAGGUGGUUUGACAAAAACCAUAAGAACGUAGCUCCUCGGAGUGUUAUAGCUUAUGGUAUAAUGAAGCCUACCUGGACCGAGGACCGCGCUUCGGCUAGGAUGCUGGCGUAAUGAUGGCAAGCGACCCGUCUUGAAACACGGACCAAGGAGUCAAUCGUUUAAGCGAGUGUUUGGGUGUUAAACCCAUGCGCGUAAUGAAAGUGAAUGGAGGUCAGAACCUCUCUCUGAGGCGCAUGAUCGACCGAAUCAGAAGUUUACGGAUGGUUUUGAGUAAUAGCUUCAAUGAUUGGACCCGAAAGAUGGUGAACUAUGCGUGAAUAGGGUGAAGCCAGAGGAAACUCUGGUGGAGGCUCGCAGCGGUUCUGACGUGCAAAUCGAUCGUCAAAUUUGCGCAUAGGGGCGAAAGACCAAUCGAACUAUCUAGUAGCUGGUUCCUGC